CUUAAUUGCCAUCAUUCAGUUGGGCACUUUAAAGAGACUGUACGGUGUUAAACCGGAGGAAGGUGGGGAUGACGUCAAGUCCUCAUGGCCUUUAUGCCCAGGGCUACACACGUGCUACAAUGGGUGGUACAAGAGCAGCAAGCUCGCGAGAGCAAGCGAAUACUCAAAAAGCCAUCCUCAGUUCGGAUUGAAGUCUGCAACUCGACUUCAUGAAGUCGGAAUCGCUAGUAAUCGCGGAUCAGCAUGCCGCGGUCGAAUACGUUCCGGGCCUU
rnacentral:rRNA from 1 species